rnacentral:rRNA from 1 species
UACGUAGGUGGCGAGCGUUGUCCGGAUUUACUGGGCGUAAAGGGAGCGUAGGCGGACUUUUAAGUGAGAUGUGAGAUACUCGGGCUCAACUUGAGUGCUGCAUUUCAAACUGGAAGUCUAGAGUGCAGGAGAGGAGAAUGGAAUUCCUAGUGUAGCGGUGAAAUGCGUAGAGAUUAGGAAGAACACCAGUGGCGAAGGCGAUUCUCUGGACUGUGACUGACGCUGAGGCUCGAAAGCGUGGGGAGCAAACAGG